CCUUAUUGGAGAGUUUGAUCCUGGCUCAGGACGAACGCUGGCGGCGUGCUUAACACAUGCAAGUCGAGCGGUAAGGCCCUUCGGGGUACACGAGCGGCGAACGGGUGAGUAACACGUGGGUAACCUGCCCUGUACUCUGGGAUAAGCCUUGGAAACGAGGUCUAAUACCGGAUACGACACCGGAUCGCAUGAUCUGGUGUG
rnacentral:rRNA from 1 species